rnacentral:rRNA from 1 species
UCAUUAAAGAGUUCUAUAACUCCCAAACCCAUGUGAACAUACCUAACGUUGCCUCGGCAGGUCGCACCUACCUUGUAGCACCCUACCCUGUAGGGCCUACCCGGGAGGUGCGGGUAAGCCUGCCGGCGGCCCACCAAACUCUGUUUGAUAUUGAAUUCUGAACCUAUAACUAAAUAAGUUAAAACUUUCAACAACGGAUCUCUUGGUUCUGGCAUCGAUGAAGAACGCAGCGAAAUGCGAUAAGUAAUGUGAAUUGCAGAAUUCAGUGAAUCAUCGAAUCUUUGAACGCAUAUUGCGCCCAUUAGUAUUCUAGUGGGCAGGACCGUUCGAGCGUCAUUUCAACCCUUAAGCCUUCGUUGCUUAGUGUUGGGAGCCUACGGCAACGUAGCUCCUCAAAGUUAGUGGCGGAGUUAGUUCACACUCUAGACGUAGUAAUUUUUUAUCUCGCCUAUUAGUUGGACUAAUCCCCUGCCGUAAAACCCCCAAUUUAUCAAGGUUGACCUCGAAUCGGUUCAGACAAACUCGCUAAAUUGAAGCAUCUUAGUCAGCGAAGGAAAAGAAACCAACAGGGAUUGCCCUAGUAACGGCGAGUGAAGCGGCAACAGCUCAAAUUUGAAAUCUGGCCCUCGGGUCCGAGUUGUAAUUUGUAGAGGAUGCUUUUGGCGCGGUGCCUUCCGAGUUCCCUGGAACGGGACGCCUUAGAGGGUGAGAGCCCCGUACGGUUGGACACCAAGCCUCUGUAAAGCUCCUUCGACGAGUCGAGUAGCUUGGGAAUGCUGCUCUAAAUGGGAGGUAAAUUUCUUCUAAAGCUAAAUAUUGGCCAGAGACCGAU